UAGGGAAUCUUCGGCAAUGGGGGCAACCCUGACCGAGCAACACCGCGUGAGUGAAGAAGGUUUUCGGAUCGUAAAGCUCUGUUGUAAGAGAAGAACGUGUGUGAGAGUGGAAAGUUCACACAGUGACGGUAACUUACCAGAAAGGGACGGCUAACUACGCGCCAG
rnacentral:rRNA from 1 species